rnacentral:rRNA from 1 species
CGUAGGUGGCAAGCGUUGUCCGGAAUUAUUGGGCGUAAAGGGCGCGUAGGCGGUACCUUAAGUCAGAUGUGAAAACCCGAGGCUUAACUUCGGAGGUGCAUUUGAAACUGGGGAACUAGAGUGCAGGAGAGGUAAGUGGAAUUCCUAGUGUAGCGGUGAAAUGCGUAGAUAUUAGGAGGAACACCAGUGGCGAAGGCGACUUACUGGGCUGUAACUGACGCUGAGGCGCGAAAGCGUGGGGAGCAAACAGGAUUAGAUACCCUGGUAGUCCACGCUGUAAACGAUGGAUACUAGGUGUGGGAGGUAUCGACCCCUUCCGUGCCGCAGUAAACGCAAUAAGUAUCCCGCCUGGGGAGUACGGCCGCAAGGUUG